UUGAAGAAGAUUUACAUCUCAAAGGGCAGAGGAUGAAUUUACAGCUCCAAGCUUCUAAAGUAAAUGCUCUAAGAAAAGGGAAGUCAUGGGACUUGAAGAAGUCAGGAAGUCAGGAAGAAGCCCGUCUGAAGUGACUACUUUGUAGGUUUUCUGUUCCAGUUUUAUAUACAAACUGGUGCCACUGUUCCCUCCACCUCCCAGGUCAGCCACUCAAAGAGAAUUUAUUUCCUCAGAAGUCACCACGAUGCCAUUUCCUAUCAUAUGCAGAAACUCUCCCUGGGGUGUCUCGAAUGUGUGCAAUGAGCAUGAACACUGGAUUUGGAUCAGUGAGCUGAGAGAUGUGGACCAUCACACUUGGCCGGAUGAGUCCCAGUGGGUUGUGGACCUGGGAGGAGCUGUGAACGCUGUUCAUUC